GCCCUUCGGUUCAGUGUGAAAACUCAGGGAAACUUGAGCUAAUACCGGAUACGCCCUUACGGGGAAAGAUUUAUUGCCGAAGGAACGGCCCGCGUCCGAUUAGCUUGUUGGUGAGGUAAUGGCUCACCAAGGCGACGAUCGGUAGCUGGUCUGAGAGGAUGACCAGCCUCACUGGGACUGAGACACGGCCCAGACUCCUACGGGAGGCAGCAGUGGGGAAUAUUGGACAAUGGGCGCAAGCCUGAUCCAGCCAUGCCGCGUGGAUGAUGAAGGCCCUAGGGUUGUAAAGUCCUUUUAACGGGGAAGAUAAUGACGGUACCCGUAGAAUAAGCCCCGGCUAACUUCGUGCCAGCAGCCGCGGUAAUACGAAGGGGGCUAGCGUUGCUCGGAAUUACUGGGCGUAAAGCGCACGUAGGCGGCUUUUUAAGUCGGAGGUGAAAUCCUGGAGCUCAACUCCAGAACUGCCUUCGAUACUGGAGAGCUCGAGUUCGGGAGAGGUGAGUGGAACUGCGAGUGUAGAGGUGAAAUUCGUAGAUAUUCGCAAGAACACCAGUGGCGAAGGCGGCUCACUGGCCCGAUACUGACGCUGAGGUGCGAAAGCGUGGGGAGC
rnacentral:rRNA from 2 species